GACGAACGCUGGCGGCGUGCUUAACACAUGCAAGUGGAGCGACGAACCGGGGCUUGCCCCGGGGCAGAGCCGCGAACGGGUGAGUAACACGUGGGUAACCCACCCCGAUGACCGGGACAACCCGAGGAAACUCGGGCUAAUACCGGAUGUGCUCCUUGAUCUUGAGAUCAAGGCGUAAAGAUAGCUUCGGCCUUCGCAUCGGGACGGGCCCGCGGCCCAUUAGCUUGUUGGUGGGGUAAAGGCCUACCAAGGCGACGAUGGGUAGCUGGUCUGAGAGGACGAUCAGCCACACUGGGACUGAGACACGGCCCAGACUCCUACGGGAGGCAGCAGUGGGGAAUCUUGCACAAUGCGCGAAAGCGUGAUGCAGCAACGCCGCGUGGGGGAAGAAGGCCUUCGGGUUGUAAACCCCUUUCAGUUGGGACGAAGCUUCGCCGGUGAAUAGCCGGCUGGAGUGACGGUACCUUCACAAGAGGCCCCGGCUAACUACGUGCCAGCCGCCGCAGUAAAAC
rnacentral:rRNA from 1 species